CUGACGUUAGCGGCGGACGGGUGAGUAACACGUGGGUAACCUACCUAUAAGACUGGGAUAACUCCGGGAAACCGGGGCUAAUACCGGAUAACACAUGAAACCGCAUGGUUUCAUGAUGAAAGACGGUUUUGCUGUCACUUAUAGAUGGACCCGCGGCGUAUUAGCUAGUUGGUAAGGUAACGGCUUACCAAGGCAACGAUACGUAGCCGACCUGAGAGGGUGAUCGGCCACACUGGAACUGAGACACGGUCCAGACUCCUACGGGAGGCAGCAGCC
rnacentral:rRNA from 1 species